GGCCCUGUGGUGUAGUUGGUUCAACACACUGCCCUGUCAAGGCAGAGAUCGCCGGUUCGAGUCCGGUCAGGGUCGCCA
rnacentral:tRNA from 1 species